AGAGAGACCUUCCCAGGCUGCUUUAUUAUAGAUAAACACGCACACCCCGUCACUUUCUCUUUUAUCCAGUUUAUCCACUUACCUCGACAUGGUUCUCUUUAGACCCAUUACCCUUAUUAAGACAUUUACAGAAUGUCUAUAAAUCUGUUCUUUGUCUUUAGCCAGCACCCAAAUGUAAGUUAUUGGGAAGCAAGUCUUUGGUGUGUUUGUUACCAAGGCAACCACAUGACAUGAGGUCAACUCUCCAAGUAUGGUUGAACAAAUGAGUCGGGAUCUCCACGAUGGAACUAACCAAACUGGGGCAGUCAGUCCUUCACUGGAAUUCAGUCAACUGAACGUAUCUAGUCUUUUCUCUUAGUCUGUGACUUACAGUAGAAAAGAACCGCUGAACCUCACUGUGAGGGGUUGUAUGCAAGUCUGGUAGUGUCUGAUGACCCUAGGAAGGGAAGGCUUGGAAGUUUAGUGUGUGUUUAGGGUACUCCAGUCUAGAGCACUUCUGAUGUGAGAAUAAACUUCCUGAUUCUUCGAGGCCAGAGAUUAGCCAGGCAGAGAGCUGGUCUAGAUGGUCCUUUCAAGUACAGAGUCUGUGAGUUGCUCUGAGUCUCUGCACCCCUGAGUAUUCGCAGGAUUCUGCAGUGUCAAUUUCUGCUCCUCCAGUAGCAGCCCCUCUCACAUGCCGCUGAAACACUUGAAUAUCUCUGUACAUUUUAUUUUAUCUUCCUAAGAUUUUCAUACUCUUGUGCUGGUGUUUCUCUUUCCUGGGUAUCUGUCUUCCUGUCACAGAUGUUAGGAGGAUUUCAUAAGAACAGGUAGAUAGUGGUAUCCACCACGUUAUGCUUAAGUCUCAUGGAGGUUUUCAAUAUUUGUCUGGUUUGAGUUCAUGUUUCUGUUUUUGUUUUUGAGACAGGGCCUCACUAUGUAGCUCUGGCUGGCCUGGAACUCAACAUGUAGACCAGGCUGGCCUCAAACUCACAAAGGCUAGCCUGCGUCUGCCUCUUAAGUCUUGGGAUUAAAGCAGUACACCACCACACCUAACCUCAGCAGAAAUACCUUCUCAAGUAAAAUUCUACGAAGAAACCCUGUAUGUAAAACCAAAUAUUCCUUCUCCAAUUGGAGAGUACUGAGGAUCAGGAAUUGGGGUUCCCAAAAAUUGCUUCCCCCGUCCUCUUUUCUGCCCUUCUACCAUUUGGUUCCUAUCUCCAUUUCCCAGAGCCACUUGAGACUUAGAGCAGAGCCAAAUUGGAAAAGCACCGAGUCCUCUUCCCCUGGAGACAGCUAUGCAAACACGAAUGUACUUCGAAGUAGCGUAUAACAAGCUGCACUUGUUGGCUCGCCUUGGAGAGAUUAUUUAUAGAGUGUUCUCUCAGAGGGACUCAUCUCUGUUCUAGGAUGAGCGCAUCAUUUGCGAGAACACCAUGACUUUUCUAAUUUCUCUCAAGGUGAUAUUUAAGAAGGAUCCUAAAUGUUUCUAAGAAACAUCGCUUUAUCUUGUAAAUAGAAAAUCUGUUAUGAUUGACUACCGUCAUCCUCAUUAGCCAUAAUGUAGUGUCAGGGGGCGGAGGGAUCUCCAGGAAAACUAAAUUGCUGUUAGAUAUCCCUAUUAUAUAACCUGUGGUCAUUGAGGCUAUUAAGGAUGUAAAUUUUCUCCGUAAGUGUUUUUAUUGAUUUCAUUUUGUUCCUUGUUAAUUUCAUAUGCGUUUAGAAGGCAUGCUGGUUCCUCUCUCUUGUCACCUUCUGUAUCUUCCUCCCACUCCUACCAAACCCGCCCCGAUCACUACCAGUCAUUCCAAAAGCAUUUCACGGGGUGGGAACUACCUUGUCUCUUACAGAAGUAUUUGAGGAUGUCAGCUCAGCACUACAGUACUCCAGAAUGCACAAGAGCAGGUGUGUUGCGUUAGCUACACAUCUAGAACCAGAUAGACCUGUUGUGAAUGCACUACCCUGAAGACUUCGGUCCUCAGUAUGAAAUGGAGUGCAGCCUUUACAACUAAUUGACAGAGCCAGGCCUGGUAACACAGGCCCAGCACAGAGAAGACUGAGGCAGAAGGAAGAGUAAGUUUGAGGCUGAUAUACGAAGCACCAGGCAAGCUGGGGUGACCAAGUGAGACUCUAUGCAGAAACACCCCCACCAAGUAUUGGAUUCUGAAAUUGGAAGCUUGUUUUCUAAGGCAGGGCCUACUGAAGUAAAUGGGAUCUUUGGAAACCAAAUCAAUCUACCUCCUGUUCAUGCUCAUUAAAGGGUGUGAACUCACCUGC
rnacentral:lncRNA from 1 species